CAUCAAUCUCUAGAAGAACCAAACCUCAGCACCAACCUGUUCAUCAUGAUGAUCAGAAUCCUCUGCCUGAGCGUCCUUGUGCUGCUUUUCUGCACAGACAUUGAAGCUAAAAAAGAAAAGACCGAAAAGACCGAAAAGUUCAAAAAGUUCAAGUGUUUCACUUGUACAGAGAAAAACUGCAAAAAACAACAGUAUUGUAGUGAAGGACAGGUCUGCAUGAGCGCCUCUGUUAUCGAAGUCACACAUGGACAUCAGAAUAAAUCCUACUACAGGUCCUGUACGUCACCUUCAUACUGUCCAAAGAGUGAAAAAGCAGAGACCUUGUCCAUCGGCUUGGGUUAUCAGGUGUUUGUGGCGACCGUUAAGUGCUGCAAGUCCCAUCUCUGCAACAAAAAACCUCAACCCCACCCUAAGAUACCAUCAGGAAAUGGGUUGACGUGCCUUUUCUGCAGCAACACUAAUAACCCAAAGGAAUGCAAAGUCAAGGAAUGCAUUGGAAAUCAAACUCACUGCGUGCAAGUAAUCAGAAAUGGAACUCAUCAGAGUGGGUGUGCAACUAAAAACUUCUGUCACCCCGACAAGAUACUUGGACGCUACAAGCCUGUUAAUGGCUUCGCUGGUGCCCUCAGUUUUCCAGCUGAGUGUGAGAAAGCAAAACCUGCACCUGAGCCAACAACUGCUGAACCAACAACUGCUGAACCAACAACUGCUGAACCAACAACUGCUGAACCAACAACUGCUGAACCAACAACUGCUGAACCAACAACUGCUGAACCAACAACUGCUGAACCAACAACUGCUGAACCAACAAUUGCUGAACCAACAACUGCUGAACCAACAACUGCUGAACCAAAGUGUGUUCCAGUUGAAACCACUCCUGAACCAACCCUUCCACCCUGUGAUAGAAAGGGAUAACUACUCCCACCACGUAAAACCAGUUUCUUUGUCUUGCUGACAAAAUCAUUAAAAGGUUGAUUAAAGUCUGGGUGAAUCUUUAGUGGAUCCUACAUCAAACAUAGAGAUCUUAACAAACUUAUCAGACCACCACCCACUGUGAGCUUAAAUCACAGCAUUGGUAAAUAUCUUUGUUUCUGUCAUUUGGCUAAUCUCCUAAACAAAAAAAAAUGGUUGGUGGUUGAAUACAUUUGUUAACCAACUCAUGUGAUGUUUUGCUUUUAGUGAUGUUAUUAGAUGAUGAAUUAAUGAAGAUCAAAGCUUCUUUCAAAGGAGCUUUGAUGACUUCUAACUUCUAAAUGUGACUCUUUUAGUAAAGGUAACAGGGCUGAGUUUCUAAUGCUUUCUUAAAAUGCUUUCUGCAUGGGAACAAUCAUUAAAGAGGU
rnacentral:lncRNA from 1 species